GAUGAACGCUGGCGGCGUGCCUAAUACAUGCAAGUCGAGCGAACAGAUGAGGAGCUUGCUCCUCUGACGUUAGCGGCGGACGGGUGAGUAACACGUGGAUAACCUACCUAUAAGACUGGGAUAACUUCGGGAAACCGGAGCUAAUACCGGAUAAUAUAUUGAACCGCAUGGUUCAAUAGUGAAAGACGGUUUUGCUGUCACUUAUAGAUGGAUCCGCGCCGCAUUAGCUAGUUGGUAAGGUAACGGCUUACCAAGGCAACGAUGCGUAGCCGGCCUGAGAGGGUGAGCAGGCCCACCGGGAAUGAGACACGGGCCAAACCCCUAAGGGAGGGCGCAGGGGGGGAUAUUUCCCAAUGGGCGGAAACCUGAACGGGACAACGCGGGGGGGUGGAGGAGGCUUUUGGGUUGUAAAACCUCUUUUUUGGGGAAAAAAAAAAGGAGGAAAAAACUACGCAGGUCUUAAGGGAACCAAAGAAAAAAGCCCGGGUAAACUCGGG
rnacentral:rRNA from 1 species